AUUGAACGCUGGCGGCAGGCCUAACACAUGCAAGUCGAACGAAGUCUUCGGACUUAGUGGCGGACGGGUGAGUAACACGUGGGAACGUACCUUUUGGUUCGGAACAACUCAGGGAAACUUGAGCUAAUACCGGGUGAGCCCUUAGGGGGAAAGAUUUAUCGCCGAAAGAGCGGCCCGCGUUAGAUUAGCUAGUUGGGGAGGUAAUGGCUCACCAAGGCGACGAUCUCUAGCUGGUUUGAGAGGAUGAUCAGCCACACUGGAACGGAGACACGGUCCAGACUCCUACGGGGGGCAGGAGUGGGGAAUAUUGGACAAUGGGCGCAAGCCUGAUCCAGCCAUGCCGCGUGUGUGAAGAAGGCCUUCGGGUUGUAAAAUUCUUUCACCGGGGACGAUAAUGACGGUACCCGGAGAAGAAGCCCCGGCUAACUUCGUGCCAGCCGCCGCAGUAAAAC
rnacentral:rRNA from 1 species